UGUGAGGCCUGUGCACAUGCAUGUGCACUAGUGUUGUAUCAUCGUGUAUCCUUAGAAAAAGAAGAGCUCAUAGUACUCAUGGGAGGCAAGUUGCAGAGUAUGCUAAGGUAGCAUACUGGCACUCUAUCACACUAGAGAGAUUCAUUCUGCCUUACAGUUAAGGUACACAAGCAAUGCGCAGUGACUGCUAUUUUGCUAUUUUCAUGUUACGUCUUUUUAUUCUUCUUUUUUGUGUGACAUGAUCAUUUUAUGUAAACCAGUCUGACUUUAAACCCACUGUGUGGUUCAUACUGGCUUCAAAUUCACAGCAAUCCUUCUGUUUUGCCUCCUGAGUGCUAACUAGAAUUACAGACCUGCACUACCAUGCCUGGUUCAUUUUCUCAUUACUUCAUGCUUUGCCUUCCCCCCCCCCCCUGUUCUUUCUCUAAUACUUUUCUUCCAUAUAAAUGUAUAUUUUCUAGUAUAUCAGUAAGGUUUUUGUUAGCCAGUUUUUAUAAAGAUUGAUUAACUUCUUGUGUGUGUUUGCAUGUG
rnacentral:lncRNA from 1 species